rnacentral:rRNA from 1 species
UUAGGGGAGGAAAGAUGGGGAACUAUGCAGGGAGAAGCCCAGCACUGAAGCCCGUAGUCUAUAAUGGUUACAGGGCAAUGUAGUGUAUAGGAGAGCUCGCUUAACCCAAAUAUUUAAUUAGCGCGUCCAAGUCCUUCUUGAAGGGGGCCAAUAACCCAUAGAGGGUGCCAGGCCCGUUGUGACCGUUAGUUUAUUUGGGUGAGUUUCUCCUUAGAGUCGAGUUGCUUGAGAGUGCAGCUCUAAGUGGGUGGUAAACUCCAUCUAAGGCUAAAUAUAACCACGAGACCGAUAGCGAACAAGUACCGGGAGGGAAAGUUGAAAAGAACUUUGAAGAGAGAGUUCAAUAGUACGUGAAACCGUUUAGGGGUAAACCUGAGAAACCCGAAUAUUCGAAAAAGGAGAUUCAAUUACUUUGCUAAUGUUGGACAAUAUAUUGUACGAAAAUCGAUGGUAUAUUUAUAGUUUCGGCUAUAUUAUAUACUAUCUUUGCUUCUCUUUAUAUUGUUUAAAUCCAAUAUUGGAAGUAUGCACUUCUCCUUUAGUAGAUCGUCGUGACCCGUUAAGUUGUUAUUUACGGCCUAAUUGGUAUUUAGACCAAAAAAUUAAUUUUUUGGACCAAUAUAGUGUCCCAAUAACAACAUGACGGUAGAAAUGUAAAAGUAAAUGGGUCGCUUUAGCGAGCGUUAUGGUUUUAUAGCAAGUAUAUAUAUGAAAAGUGGAUGUCCGGACUUUAUUGUCCCGUUCCCACACAUAUAUUGUACUGUUAGCUAUUUAAUCCUCUAACCGAUUCCAAGUUUACUAGUCAACGACGUUUAGUUUUGGGUACUUUCAGGACCCGUCUUGAAACACGGACCAAGGAGUCUAGCAUGUGCGCGAGUCAUUGGGAUUUUAUAAACCUAAAGGCGUAAUGAAAGUGAAUGUUUGUUGUGUUAUAAAUUAAGGGAAGAUGGGCUUCUAUCACGAUAUUGGCCCCGCAUUCCCGGGGCGUCGUGAACUCAUUGCGAGUUGCGGCGCGCUA